CUUAAGUGGGGAAUAACGCAUCGAAAGAUGUGCUAAUACCGCAUAAUCUCUAAGGAGGAAAGCAGGGGAUCGCAAGACCUUGCGCUUUUGGAGCGGCCGAUGUCUGAUUAGCUAGUUGGUGGGGUAAAAGCCCACCAAGGCGACGAUCAGUAGUUGGUCUGAGAGGACGACCAGCCACACUGGGACUGAGACACGGCCCAGACUCCUACGGGAGGCAGCAGUGGGAAAUUUUGGACAAUGGGCGAAAGCCUGAUCCAGCCAUGCCGCGUGAGUGAAGAAGGCCUUCGGGUUGUAAAGCUCUUUCAGUCGGGAAGAAAAGGUUGCGACUAAUAAUCGCAAUUCAUGACGGUACCGAAAGAAGAAGCACCGGCUAACUACGUGCCAGCAGCCGCGGUAAUACGUAGGGUGCGAGCGUUAAUCGGAAUUACUGGGCGUAAAGGGUGCGCAGGCGGCUUUGUAAGUCAGAUGUGAAAUCCCCGGGCUUAACCUGGGAACUGCGUUUGAAACUACAAAGCUAG
rnacentral:rRNA from 1 species